AGACUAUACUGGGUGAGUGGAUAACAGAAAUAGAGAUUGAUCUGACCAAUGCUACAGCAUCAUGAGCAGGCUAUUUAAAAGGCUGAACUUAACUGAAAAUUAAGAAAAAGAACUUGAGAGAAAAGAUGCAGAGAUUGGAAGGGUGACAUAGAACAGGGUUUCACGCUGCUUCCAGGAGCCCCCGUUGGCCCAGAGCAGCGAUCCGCAGCCAGUGGGAGCCGCGAUCAGCUGGACCCACAGAUGGGGCAGACUAACAAAUAAUCAUGGGCUUCUGGUGAAAUGAAGAGGAAAGAAACAAAGCCACCGACAGAAAGAAAAAUGAUGUUCAUUAGACCAAAGACUGAGAAUGGACAAAGUGAAAGAGGCACAAAGACGGUACAAGCACAACAUUUUAA